CCUACGGGGGGCAGCAGUGGGGAAUAUUGGACAAUGGGGGGAACCCUGAUCCAGCCAUGCCGCGUGUGUGAAGAAGGCCCUCGGGUUGUAAAACACUUUCAGUGAGGAAGAACGCCUGGUGGUUAAUACCCAUCAGGAAAGACAUCACUCACAGAAGAAGCACCGGCUAACUCCGUGCCAGCAGCCGCGGUAAUACGGAGGGUGCGAGCGUUAAUCGGAAUUACUGGGCGUAAAGCGCGCGUAGGUGGCUUGAUAAGCCGGUUGUGAAAGCCCCGGGCUCAACCUGGGAACGGCAUCCGGAACUGUCAAGCUAGAGUGCAGGAGAGGAAGGUAGAAUUCCCGGUGUAGCGGUGAAAUGCGUAGAGAUCGGGAGGAAUACCAGUGGCGAAGGCGGCCUUCUGGACUGACACUGACAUUGAGGUGCGAAAGCGUGGGUAGCAAACAGGAUUAGAUACCCCUGUAGUC
rnacentral:rRNA from 1 species